GCCCUCUCUUCAUGUUCGGUCUCUAAGAUAACACCAUAUUAUUUAUUUUGAAAUACUUAUGUAAUGUUGCCGUCUAAAACAUAUGUUCCGAAAGAAAGAGGUUAGAAAAUAAGAAGUGAAGAGGCCUAGCGGUUGAGUGGUAAAGCGCUUGGCUUCCAAAAUCUCGGUGAAGUCUGGGAUUUGGAAUUUCGGGAUUUUCAGGACGCUCCUGUUGUUAGUUGGGGGAAAGUAAAGUCGGGCGGUUGGUCAUUGUGCUGGCCACAUGACACCAUUGUUAACCGUCGACAAGAGAAGCAGAUGACCUUUACAUCAUCUCCCCUAUAGAGCGCAAGGUCUGAAAGGGAAACUUUAAUUUACUUCAGAAUUGAAGAGUAUUGAUUAAGGAUGGCCAGCGCGAUCAGCGUAGGGUAAACAACAUUGUUAGUAGAAAGUAGCAGUUUACGGCACCGGAAGUCUACUAUGUGUUUUCAUAAAAAUGGAUGGUUGCCUGGUCGUGUGGUAUGCACUCUGGACUGCUGUCUCGGUGUACCAGGAUUUGAACCCUGCCCGCUGCCGAUUCCCGCCGUUUUGAGGAAGGUUUGGCUAAGAUCUAAUUAUCUUCAAUUCUGAAGGAACAUAGGGAGCGAGUAAAACUAACUAAUAAACAAAUGGAGUGAAAUUAUUUUUAGUAUUUUGAAUCUUAUCAUGUAAUUAAUUAAUUUAAUAGAUCUAGAAUAAACCUAGAUUCUAGACUAACAAUA